rnacentral:lncRNA from 1 species
UUGGUUGAAGAGGAGAAAUUGGACUUGUUUGAUUUUCCUGCAUACCAUCCAAAUGUACAGGAAGUAAGACAAUUGAUUGAGGAAGAAGGAUCUUUUACCCUUCAAAAUAUUAAGACUUUAAAAAUGGCUUGGGAUGCAAAUCUUGAGAAAGAUAAUGUUGAUUAUGUUGUUGAUAGCAAAAUGAGAGGAGAGUUCAUAGCCAAGUAUCAUAGAGCUGUUUAUGAACCUCUUUUAAUAGCUGGGUUUGGUGAAAAUAUCAUGGAUGAAUUGUUUUCAAGGUUUGCAAAGAUGAUUGCACAACUCAUUGAGAUAGAGACUUUGGAGUUUACUAAUAUUGUAUUGUUUGUGACCAAGGAUUCUUGAAGAUGGUAAGAUGAAAGUUGUACUUUAUCCAAGAAUUAAAAUUAGAAUAAGAUGGUAAAAUAAGGCUGCCAUAGUUUGAUGUGUUAGAGAAUAUGUAAUGGACUCUUAUUAUGUAAUUGAGCUUUUUGGAUGUAUUUGAGCUAAGGGUAGUUCUGUCCAUUAUGCUUUACUAUAUAUUCAUAAGGUAACUUAUUGUAUUGCAACUUGGUUUUAUCCUAAUGUAAAAACCCUAGCCUUCUCUUCUCUUUCUCUAUGAAUAAUCUCUUCUCUUAAUAUGAUGUUUGUCCUUUUGAUUCUUGUAUUAUAUUAUUACAUGGUUUUGGUUUGUCCUACAUGAACCUUGCCGGGAUUUUCUUUGUUUUUCUUCUUUCCUGGUAGCGCCUUUGAGGGGUUC